GAUGAACGCUGGCGGCGUGCCUAAUACAUGCAAGUCGAGCGAACGGACGAGAAGCUUGCUUCUCUGAUGUUAGCGGCGGACGGGUGAGUAACACGUGGAUAACCUACCUAUAAGACUGGGAUAACUUCGGGAAACCGGAGCUAAUACCGGAUAAUAUUUUGAACCGCAUGGUUCAAAAGUGAAAGACGGUCUUGCUGUCACUUAUAGAUGGAUCCGCGCUGCAUUAUCUAGUUGGUAAGGUAACGGCUUACCAAGGCAACGAUGCAUAGCCGACCUGAGAGGGUGAUCGGCAACCCUGGAACUGAGACACGGCCCAGCCCCCUCCGGGAGGCAGCAGUAGGGAAUCUUCCGCAAUGGGCGAAAGCCUGACGGAGCAACGCCGCGUGAGUGAUGAAGGUCUUCGGAUCGUAAAACUCUGUUAUUAGGGAGGAACAUAUGUGUAAGUAACUGUGCACAUCUUGACGGUACCUAAUCAGAAAGCCACGGCUAACUACGUG
rnacentral:rRNA from 1 species